CCUACGGGAGGCAGCAGUAGGGAAUCUUCCGCAAUGGACGAAAGUCUGACGGAGCAACGCCGCGUGAGUGAUGAAGGUUUUCGGAUCGUAAAGCUCUGUUGUUAGGGAAGAACAAGUGCCGUUCAAAUAGGACGGCACCUUGACGGUACCUAACCAGAAAGCCACGGCUAACUACGUGCCAGCAGCCGCGGUAAUACGUAGGUGGCAAGCGUUGUCCGGAAUUAUUGGGCGUGAAGGGCUCGCAGGCGGUUUCUUAAGUCUGAUGUGAAAGCCCCCGGCUCAACCGGGGAGGGUCAUUGGAAACUGGGGAACUUGAGUGCAGAAGAGGAGAGUGGAAUUCCACGUGUAGCGGUGAAAUGCGUAGAGAUGUGGAGGAACACCAGUGGCGAAGGCGACUCUCUGGUCUGUAACUGACGCUGAGGAGCGAAAGCGUGGGGAGCGAACAGGAUUAGAUACCCGGGUAGUC
rnacentral:rRNA from 1 species